CACAUCCCACUGGUGCCACACAAGCAACGGGUACAGGAAUGCCCUUCUCUUUUACAACACUGCCUGCUGUGCUGACGUGAUGACUCCUGAAGGGAGUUAAAGGCAUUUUCCGGACAGGGCUGCCCUGCAAGCAAAAACUCUUCGGAAUGCUACCCCAGUGACUUACAACCUACCUCCAAAUAAAUAGCUCCACUCCAAUCAAGCCAGAGGAAGUUAGUCAACAUCUCUCUCUCCACGACCCUGGGGAUUUUCUACACACUCACAGAAUGAAAGUUGUCCUAUCGUAAGUCGGGGCCUGUCUACUUUCUUUGGUGAUUCUGAAAGUACAGUUAUUUUGGAGAUUGAGGAAAAAUCCAUUCUGGAAGAAGGGGCUUUCUGUUAUAUAGCUUCAGAUUGCUUCUGCUAUUAUCAUUCUUAUUAAA
rnacentral:lncRNA from 1 species